rnacentral:rRNA from 1 species
UGGGGAAUAUUGGACAAUGGGCGAAAGCCUGAUCCAGCCAUGCCGCGUGUGUGAAGAAGGUCUUCGGAUUGUAAAGCACUUUAAGUUGGGAGGAAGGGCAUUAACCUAAUACGUUAGUGUUUUGACGUUACCGACAGAAUAAGCACCGGCUAACUCUGUGCCAGCAGCCGCGGUAAUACAGAGGGUGCAAGCGUUAAUCGGAAUUACUGGGCGUAAAGCGCGCGUAGGUGGUUUGUUAAGUUGGAUGUGAAAGCCCCGGGCUCAACCUGGGAACUGCAUCCAAAACUGGCAAGCUAGAGUACGGUAGAGGGUGGUGGAAUUUCCUGUGUAGCGGUGAAAUGCGUGGAUAUAGGAAGGAACACCAGUGGCGAAGGCGACCACCUGGACUGAUACUGACACUGAGGUGCGAAAGCGUGGGGAGCAAACA